rnacentral:lncRNA from 1 species
CUUCAAUCAACUUGUUGCGUCGGUUAGCGGCCAAUUGGCGCUGGCGUUCCCGUUGCGGCUGCUCGUCUUGACCCAUCACCAAAGCAGCUGCAAUGAGCAGCAGCGCCUGAUUUUGAUCAAUCACCAACAAAACGGGAGCUAGCAGCGCCAUCUAAAGACGGCAGUAAAAACCACUGUUCAUUUGAUCCGCAUCUUUCCGCAAAUGACAAAUCCGCAUAAUUCAAAAUGGCUGUCUUGGAGUGUCUGUCAGUUAGUCCACACAGCCAAACAGGCUGUGAUGCUGCCAACUCAACGUAUUGUUGUUUAAACAUCAAGUCAGCAGCAUUUGUUUUGGUUCUUUGGCCAUCCUGAAGUGUAUAUUUUAAUUUUACCAUUCAAUUAUUAGAUUAAAAAUCCGAUCUAUUGAAUGUUUUUUGACAAGCAAUGACGCAGUUUUAUCGUGGAUGUCGACUUACAGUGAUUUCGAAAUUCAGAGACCAAUUGCAGCUGAUGCUGUUGCAGCCUUGCAGCACACUGUCAAUAGGUCAUGUGCUAUUUUGAUUAUUUAAAUUUAAAUGGGAAAAAUCGCGUACCUUGCUAACGCAGGGUAGCUUCAGCUUAUAUCCUCCAGCCGCCAGGUGGCGCGAGCGAGUGUCUUAGAAGUUAGAACGUCCGGUGUCCGCCUUUCGCCAUUUGUUUUUGUGCCACUGACUGAAAAUGUCUUCCAAAUUCAUCGCGGGUAAUACGGCGUAUACAUUUUCAGUCAUCUAAUAAACCAAUCGAAACACUUCAAGGAAAUUCAAGCUGCAGAUUCCUUUGUUGAUCAGAAUCAAAGAAAUCAAAGAAUUUGAGAACACAGUUAAGUCUGAACUUUAUUGCUGUCAUCAUGUGGUUCUGUUUCUGCCAGCUGGUGAAAGGGGUGAACAAGUGGAACUGCUUCAUGCAUUGCUGGUGUCAUCCUGAAGUGUGGAAAUUUGGGACAUUGUAUUAAAGUUUGCUAGAGUUUUUGUGAAAAGAGUCACCUGGAUGGUGAGCUUGUUGGGAAGUCUCACGUUUUAUUGGAAUUAUAUACUUGAGUCACAAGUCAAACUCUUAUUUGACUUAGAAAAUUUAAGUUAAACUUGAAAGGCUUAAGAAAAAAACAUCACUUGUAUCUUUCCUGUCUUGCUUUGUAUAAUUUCUGUUUUCUCACAGGACUCGAUGACAAUGUGCAGUGGUUUUGCAGCCUGUUUCCAAUUCAGCUGUUAAUAGUCUGGUUGUGGCCAGAUGGUGAAAGGUGUCAUCUAUUCAAGUUCAGCUGUUGCAUGAAGUAUGUGAUAUUGUGUUGUUGUUUUGACCAAUAUUGUGUUAUGUUUGUGAUUUGUUCUUUCCUUGUCAGAACUUUUUCCCUUUCGUCUUAUAUUUGUUUGUGUGUGAUAAAAGAACGCGUGUGUAGAUGAGGAGAUGACAGAAGGUUUAAGUUUUAAGAUAUUUUAAGUUCUGCCUUGUUUGGCCAAACUGAAAGUGGGCAGUUUGAUGAAUGCUCUAUCGACUUCUAUAACUCGAAAAUAUUAUUUAUAGAUACAGAUAAUUAAUUAACCCUUAUAAUAUGUAAUCUAUACCAAUGAACAUGUUUAUACAUUUUUAAAGAAAAUUCUA